rnacentral:rRNA from 1 species
AGUUAACGCUGGCGGUAUGCCUAACACAUGCAAGUCGAGCGAGGACUUCGGUCCUAGCGGCGGACGGGUGAGUAACGCGUGGGAACGUGCCCCUUGGUACGGAAUAGCCCCGGGAAACUGGGAGUAAUACCGUAUGAGCUCUACGGAGGAAAGAUUUAUCGCCAAGGGAUCGGCCCGCGUUGGAUCAGGUAGUUGGUGGGGUAAUGGCCUACCAAGCCGACGAUCCAUAGCUGGUUUGAGAGGAUGAUCAGCCACACUGGGACUGAGACACGGCCCAGACUCCUACGGGAGGCAGCAGUGGGGAAUCUUAGACAAUGGGCGCAAGCCUGAUCUAGCCAUGCCGCGUGAGCGAUGAAGGCCUUAGGGUUGUAAAGCUCUUUCAGCUGGGAAGAUAAUGACUGUACCAGCAGAAGAAGCCCCGGCUAACUUCGUGCCAGCCGCCGCCGUAA